AAAGAAUUAGAGGCCACAAAAACAUAUUAACAAAGUUAUCUAUGGAUGGCCGUCUUGGUCGGCCUUUUUUUGUCAGUUUUCCUCUGUUUUAUGCUAGUUGCUUGGAGUUUUGGGCCUUGUUUUGUACUCGGAUUGUUGGUUUGGUUGAGCUUUUCUCUAUUGAUUUUGGGUACGUUUCUCUGUUGUCCGAUUGGGUUGUUUUGUGGGUUCCUGUUGCUGGUCACGGUUGUGGGUUCUAGAGUUUCCGAUCUGGUUGUUUUGUUCUCUCGAAUUUCCUAUCUAAUGAUGGGCACGCAACAAUUUCUCUGUGUCCAGCAUUUCUAUUGAUUGCAGGAAGCCAAGUCUUGGUGGUCUAGGACUAUGACUGUCAAUCUUAUGGAUUCUUGUUCUAGGAUUAGUGAGAUGGAAAGAGGGCAUCAAUCGUGGACGGAGACCUUAUCGCCGAUUUCGUGGUCUGCGGCGGCUACUGUUGAGGGAUGGAUUUUUUCUGACAUUGUAGAAGAAUCUGGAAACACACAUCCUAUGGCUGAGGACGUAGUGGGCUCUUAUUGGGCCUCUUUUAUUUGGCCGCCAAUGGGCUGUCCUAGUAGUAGUGGACCUAGAGUGCUUAUUGACGGGCAAAGGGCUGCAGACCUAGAUGGGUUAAGAGGACAUCAAAAAUUUGGGCCAGAUUAUGGCCAGGUUGCUGGUUGUGUUGGUCCAGUUUCUUAAUCCUUUGGAGAUGUUGUUCCGGCUGCGAUCCCGAAUCCUAGUAUGGUCCUUGAUCUCAGCCUAUGACGCCAGUGCCUGUGUAGUAUGGUCCUUGAUCUCAGCCUAUGACGCCAGUGCCUGUGCUACUAUUCUAUACAGACCGCCAUAGGUGGCGCAGGGACAGCUCUACAGUGUCAGUUGGGUCACAGGAAGGCAUAUUACUGACAAUGUUCUUAUUUCACAUGAGAUUCUCCAUUAUUUGAAAAAAUAAAAGGAAGGGUAAGAGGCUUUUUUGGCGCUUAAGCUUGAUAUAAGUAAAGCAUAUGAUCGUAUCGAAUGUGACUUCUUAUUCAGUAUGCUUCGUAAAUUGGGAAUGAAUGACCAUUGGGUUAAAAUGUUAUCCUCAUGUCUCUCAAUGGUCUCAUAUUCUUUGGUUUUUAAUGGCACUUCAGUGUGGUUUUUCCAGCCAUCGCGUGGAUUGCGCCAAGGUAUCGUACCUCUUCAUUUUAUGUGCUGAGGCGUUGUCUUUAGCUAUAUAGAGAGCUUAGCAGGUGAAACUUAUCUCCGAGGUAUUUGCGUCGGAGAUUGGAUCUUUAAAGCGUAUUCUUUUAGCUUAUGAGUUGGCUUCGGGACAGAAGGUGAACUUUGAAAACUCUGCUAUUUUUUUCUCUAAGAACGCGCCUUUGCAGUUACGGCAUGCCUUGAGUCAAACAUUGGAUCUAUCUAAGGAAGGGUUUCAGUCGAAGUAUCGUGGAAUGCCUACUAUAAUUGGAAUGCCUGCGAUAAUUGGUUGGUUUAAAUAUGAUGUGUUUAAGUUUUUGCUUCAACGAAUAAAGGAUCGCUUGGCUUCUUGGAAGCAACUUACACUCUCAGAUGGUGGCAAGGAAGUUUUAAUACAAGCUGUUUUGAAUGAUCUUCCAACCUAAUUAUAUAUGCUUUUCACCUUCCUCGUCAUUUAUGUAUGGAAUUAUUGCAACAGGUAUGCUCUUUUUGGUGGUGAAAAUUUGGUAAAGAUAAAGUAAUACAUUGGGCUCCUUGGGAUUUAUUAUGUAAAAGCACAAAAGAGGGUGGAUUGGGAUUUCGAGACCUAGAAGCUUUUAAAUAGGCGUUGUUGGCAAAGCACGCUUGGAAUUGCCAAAUUUCUAAACGUGGAGUGGCUUAUCAGUUAUUCAAAGUGCGAUAUUUUCCAUCAUGUUCCUUUGUGGAUGCAGGUCUUGGAUUGAAUCCAUCCUGGAUUAGCGUAGUAGUCAGCGCAGGAGUUGUUGAGGAAUGGUUUGCAAUGGGUGAUUAGCAAUGGGAUAUCUAUUCACAUUUGGAAUGAUAAAUGGGUGUCAGGUUUUUCCAAGCCUUUUGAAAAGCAGAGGGGUGGGUCAACUUUUAAGUUGGUUGUUGAGCUUAUUGAUGAGGAUAAUAAUCAGUGGCGUAUGAAAGUACUGUGGCAAUUAUUUUCUUCUGUUGAGAUUAACCGUAUAUCUCAGAUCUCUUUAUAUAAUGGGCCAGUGGAGGAUGUUCAAAUAUGGAAUAGUGAUGCCUCAGGCCAUUUUUUUGUUAAGUCGGCCUACCAAUUGGCUAUCUCUCUUUAUUGCCCGAAUUUGCAGGUCGAGAGGCGGUAGGAAGGGCCAAGGGUGUUUAGACAAUUUUGGAGUCAGUUGUGGAGCUUCUAACGUUAAGCAUUUUAUUUAGAAAUGUUGCUAUAGUACUAACCCUAUAGGGGUUGAGUUAGUUUGAAGAGAUUGCUUGCAGGAUCCGGUGCGCCCGAGAUGUGGGUUGGCGGUUGAGGAUAUUCUUCACAUUUUUUUCUGGUGCGCUCACUCCGUCCAGGUAUGGAAACUCAUUCCUUUUCGCUGGGAUUUUUCUCAGCAUUCUUCUUUGUCUUUUAUUGGUUGGUGGGAGAGUGUUUUGAGAGCUUAUUUGAUUUCCAUGAAAAAUAACAGGGUAGUGGGAGGGUUGGCUGCUUUUAGUUUGUGGAUCAUUUGGAAGGCUAGAAAUAAAAUGGUGUUUGAAAAGGAAGUUUGGGAUCCUUUGGUGGUGGCUAAUCUAAGCAAUGGAUCGGAUGUGGGAAUUUCUACGUGUGUAGAAAAAAUGCUAGUCGUUUGAUUUUUCUAGAAGUUGUUUUGUGUCCUCUGAUCGUUGGAUACACCCGUCACCUAGUCUAAUUAAAUGUAGCGUGGAUGCUAGUUUUAAAAAUGCCUCAUUAUUAGGCGGUGGAGGGGUAGUUGUUCGGAGAUCUUAUGGAUUUGUUCUUUAAGUAGUGAUUUUUAAACCAGUCUCUUCCUUGUUUGUGCCAAGUUGAGGCUUUUGCAUUUUCUCGUGCUGUGUAUUGGGCCAAAUUUUUUAACUUUCAUGAUGUCUGCUUUGAAACAGAUGCUAAAGUGGUGGUGGAAGCUAUUGCGGGUGUGCGAUAUGGUGAUGGUGAGUGCUUACCUUUGGUGUCUGAGCUUCGGAAGGAGUUGCACGCUUGCUCUUCUUUUUCUUUAGCACAUGUUCCAAGGGGAGGUAAUAAGGUGGCCCAUGCUUUAGCUGGUCUCUCGAGGGUUGACAUGGAGGGGGAUCUGGUGCUCUAUUUGAUCCCACCUUUCAUCUCUCAGCUUUUGGUAGUUGAUGUUGCGGGUUUAGUGUGAGAGUUUGUUUGUUUUUGUGUAGUUGUUGUCAAAAAAAAAAAAAAAAAUAAUAAAAAAAUUAAAAAAUAACUUGUCUCCUAUUCACACUACCUUUUUCUCACAUCAUAUUCGUUGAUCGAAAAGAAAUGGGUGACAAAUUCACAUGUCAGUGUUGGUGUGUCCCAUUGACUCUUUAGAAUGAGAAAUUAUUAAAUAGACGUGAUCUAUUUGACAUUUGGUGAACUAAUUCAAUGUAAACCCUCCCAUCAUGAAACUUUGUAAUUUAUUAAUGCACUCUUAUGAGACCAUCUUCUUAAUCCAAGAAUCUGUAUUUAAUUGGUUCACCAAGUGUUAAUGGUCUAGAACCAUCUAAUAAUUUCUCAAAUAGAUAAGGUCAAUUCAAUUGACCAGAGAGUUUAUCUAAUCUACACUGAUCAGCCAUUUUAUUUAAAGUUAAAUUUAUGUAAAUUGUCCGUUCAACUAUUAUUUUUUUGUAAAUAACUUUUAAAUUAAAAAUUAUCUCCUAAAAUAUUAAUUUGUUACA